rnacentral:rRNA from 1 species
GAGUUUGAUCAUGGCUCACGAUGAACGCUAGCGGCAGGCUUAACACACCAUUUAAGAGGGGUAGAAGCAGCUUGCUGCUUUGAGACCGGCCCUUUGGUGCGUAACGCGUAUACAAUCUACCUUUUACAGAGGGAUAGCCCAGAGAAAUUUGGAUUAAUACCUCAUAGUAUUUUCGAAUCGCAUGAUUUGAUUAUUAAAGUUCCAACGGUAAAAGAUGAGUAUGCGUCCCAUUAGCUAGAUGGUAAGGUAACGGCUUACCAUGGCAACGAUGGGUAGGGGUCCUGAGAGGGAGAUCCCCCACACUGGUACUGAGACACGGACCAGACUCCUACGGGAGGCAGCAGUGAGGAAUAUUGGACAAUGGGCGCAAGCCUGAUCCAGCCAUGCCGCGUGCAGGAAGACGGUCCUAUGGAUUGUAAACUGCUUUUAUACAGGAAGAAACACACCCUCGUGAGGGUACUUGACGGUACUGUAUGAAUAAGCAUCGGCUAACUCCGUGCCAGCAGCCGCGGUAAUACGGAGGAUGCAAGCGUUAUCCGGAAUCAUUGGGUUUAAAGGGUCCGUAGGCGGCCAAAUAAGUCAGUGGUGAAAGCCCAUCGCUCAACGAUGGAACGGCCAUUGAUACUGUUUGGCUUGAAUUAUUAGGAAGUAACUAGAAUAUGUAGUGUAGCGGUGAAAUGCUUAGAGAUUACAUGGAAUACCAAUUGCGAAGGCAGGUUACUACUAAUAUAUUGACGCUGAUGGACGAAAGCGUGGGGAGCGAACAGGAUUAGAUACCCUGGUAGUCCACGCCGUAAACGAUGGAUACUAGCUGUUCGGAGCAAUCUGAGUGGCUAAGCGAAAGUGAUAAGUAUCCCACCUGGGGAGUACGUUCGNCAGAAUGAAACUCAAAGGAAUUGACGGGGGCCCGCACAAGCGGUGGAGCAUGUGGU